rnacentral:lncRNA from 1 species
GGUUUUUAAUAUAUUUGUAAAAAGUAAAUACCAUAAUUGAACACAUUUAUGUGCACAUACAUGUAUAUAUACGCAUGCAUAUAUAUACACACAUGUGCAACUGCUUAAGUAUAAUUUUGUGUUUUUAGGAAAACAAUUUAUUAUUUUUUGGAAAAAAUACAUUUUUCUAUACAAAAAAAAAAAAGUAAGGCAAAUAAAUAUGCAAACAAGUGAACAUACAAACAAGUGAACAUAUGAGCAUAAAAAAAAUAAAAAAGUAGAAUGUUCAACAUAUAUAAUUCCAUAAACGUUCUAACACGAAAUGUUUUCAUUAUGAUUACAUUUUUUUUUUUUUUUUUUUUUUUUUUUAGAAAAUAAAAAAAGAAAAGAUACUUACAAUCAUAAAAGUAGUGUAUUAAAAUAUGAAAACAAAUUUAUUGAUGAAAAAGAAAAUACAAAUAAUUUCAUUGGGGACAAUCUUAAUUAUAAAGUUGUUAAAUACAUGAAUUUUGUUAAAGAAGAAAAUAUUCUCGUAAAAAAAAAAAAAAAAAAAAUUUUUUUACUUAUCAUUUUACCAUAGUCUUUAUGAAUAUAUAAGUUCAAUAGUGGCUUAUCCUUUAUUAAAUAUUUCAACAAAAUUGAUUAUUUUUCAAGAUAAUACGAAAUCACUAUUUUACAACUUAAAAAAUAUAACCCAACUGACAUAUAAGAUUGACGGAGUUAGCGGCUUUUUUAAAGGGUUGAAUAAUUAUCUAAUAAUACAAUCAUUGGAUAAAGUAUUAAAUUGUUUUUUAUAUAAAUUAUUCUCAUCUAACUAUUCUUACAAUAAAGUUAUUACAAUUAAAGUAGUUUUAACAACGUGUUUAAAUACUAUCAUAGCUCCUUACAUUCAAUAUUCAAUGCUAAAUAGGUCACAAUCUCAAGUAUUGGGUUUAUGUAAGGAUACAAGCUUUAAUGAAUUUUUUAGUAAUUACCCAUGGAAAAGUCAUGUGUCUAAUGUAACCUUUUGUUUAGCAGUAACUGCAGUUCAGCUAAUGGUAAUAAUAAAAAAAGAGAAAAACACAAAUACACAAGAAACACAAAUAUAUAUAUUUAUGUAUAAGUUUAUAUAUACAUUGUAAAAUUCUCGUGAGUACAUAUCACCAACAUUUUCAUUUUCUAUAGAUUUUCGCAUUGAUACCGAAAGACACAACUAAAAAUGACGAUGUUAUUAAUGAAGAACGUGACGAAUAACUUUUAAUGAAUGUCCUUUUUUUCUUUUUUUUCAUUUAUAUUUAUUAAACUUUUUUAAAAGAAAAACAAUUUAUUAAAAAAAAAAAAAAAAAAUUUUAAAUAUUCUUACCUUGUUAACAUGUUUUAAUAAGUUGUUUAUACAUUAUGUGUAAAAAUGAAAAUUCUAUGUUUUAUACUCAACAAAAUAAACACAGUUUAAUUAUAUUUUUUGAUGAAUAU